UACGGGGGGGUGCGAGCGUUGUCCGGAAUCACUGGGCGUAAAGGGCGCGUAGGUGGUCUUAUAAGGGGUGUGGUGAAAAGCCCCGGGGGCUCAACCCCCGGGUCGGCCGUGCCGACUGUAAGACUAGAGUGCUGUAGGGGGCAGGCGGAAUUCCGGGGUGUAGCGGUGGAAUGCGUAGAGAUCCGGAGGAACACCGGUGGCGAAGGCGGGUCUCUGGGCCGAUACUGACGCUGAGGAGCGAAAGCUAGGGGAGCAAACAGG
rnacentral:rRNA from 1 species